rnacentral:lncRNA from 1 species
CAAUGUAAGCCCAUGGCCCGCAGCGUCGGCGAGGAGGUCGGCGACUUUUUUGGGAUCUGCAGGCAGGCAGCCGUCGGCCACACCCGACACAUUCAGCAACAUCCAGUAUUGAACAAGGUUAAGGGUGCGUCCGUCGGCAAGGGUGACGGUUGUGCGCACGGGGUCGAGCAUGGCCAGUCGACGCGUCCUUGGCCGCAUGCGUCGAGGGCCGCCUGGCAAUGAGCGACCAUGCCCAGGGAUUCGGCCAAGGGACGCACGAGAUCCCACGAGUCAGGGUGUCGGUAGUAGGACGAGAGCCCCCGAAAGACGACAAACUUGCGCACGCGUUGAUCCUCUUGAAUGGCCGCGAUCUGCGACGCCGCCCUCGACAGGCGCACGCCGGCAGACAGGUUGGGAUGUGUGCACGCCAGCAAUGCAUGACCGCCAGGACCCACGGACGCGCGCGGCACGAUGCCAACACCAUGUCGAGCAACGGCGGAUCGGUCGAAAAGACGGGGCGCAUGUCGACGCCGCGGCGAAGCAGCCGACGAUACACCCGCAAGGGCAGGCGCGCAUCCGUGGGGAUCUCCAGGUGACGCGCGGGGG